rnacentral:rRNA from 1 species
AGAGCGAACGCUGACGGCAGGCUUAACACAUGCAAGUCGAGCGGGCGUAGCAAUACGUCAGCGGCAGACGGGUGAGUAACGCGUGGGAACAUACCUUUUGGUUCGGAACAACACAGGGAAACUUGUGCUAAUACCGGAUAAGCCCUUACGGGGAAAGAUUUAUCGCCGAAAGAUUGGCCCGCGUCUGAUUAGCUAGUUGGUGGGGUAACGGCCCACCAAGGCGACGAUCAGUAGCUGGUCUGAGAGGAUGAUCAGCCACAUUGGGACUGAGACACGGCCCAAAACUCCUACGGGAGGCAGCAGUGGGGAAUAUUGGACAAUGGGCGAAAGCCUGAUCCAGCCAUGCCGCGUGAGUGAUGAAGGCCCUAGGGUUGUAAAGCUCUUUUGUGCGGGAAGAUAAUGACGUACCGCAAGAUAAGCCCGGCUAACUCGCGCAGCAGCCG